AAGUACAUCUCCUUCACUUCCAUUCUUUCAUCAUUAUAGGAUCAGUGAAUACAACUCCUUUCAGUAUGCACACGCUACGAGCAGAAAGCAGCCUCGACUAAUCUUCUCGUCUUGUUUGCAGGACAAUGGCCUGGUUCCAAUUGUGGAGCCUGAGAUACUGCUCGACGGAGAGCACGGGAUCGAUAGGACGUUUGAGGUCGCACAGAAAGUUUGGGCUGAGGUCUUCUUUUACUUGGCUGAGAACAACGUCAUGUUCGAAGGUAUCCUCCUCAAGCCAAGCAUGGUCACCCCCGGCGCCGAGUGCAAAGAGAAGGCCACACCGGAGCAGGUCGCCGACUACACCCUGAAGCUCCUGCACAGAAGAGUCCCAUCUGCUGUUCCUGGCAUUAUGGUACGCAGCACCACCAUGAUCAUCUUGUUCGCUUCUCUCAUAGAGGUGAUGAUUGAUGCCCAUUCACCUGUAAAUGUUUUGGCGAACAGUUCCUCUCCGGUGGACAGUCGGAAGUGGAGGCAACCCUGAACCUGAAUGCCAUGAACCAGAGCCCCAACCCAUGGCACGUCUCCUUCUCUUACGCGAGAGCUCUGCAGAACACCUGCCUGAAGACAUGGGGAGGAAGACCGGAGAACGUGAAGGCUGCGCAGGAUGUGCUCCUAGUCCGGGCCAAGGCCAACUCGCUCGCUCAGCUCGGGAAGUACUCAGCCGAGGGCGAAGCUGCAGAAGCUAAAGAGGGGAUGUACGUCAAGAACUACAGCUACUGAGAACCCAGCAAAGCAUGAUAUCUUCUAUAUCUCUGUGGAUUUUGAUUACCGGUCUGUUCAAGGAAGACGACGAUCGAUGUAGUUGAAUGUUUAAGCCUGCAUAAGACUGCAUUUGGUAUUAAGUAUCGAUUGAAUACAGCUUGUUAGCUGCGUCUGUUGCAAA
rnacentral:lncRNA from 1 species